UGUAAGUGACUUUUUGCCGACUCAUCUCAACCACUAAUUAAUAUUUUUUCCCAAAAUUGUUGGCGAGUGGGGGAAGGGAGACAAUUAAUGUGCGGCUAAACAUCAAAAAAGUUUCCGGACAUUACAUUUUCGGUUAUCGUACCAUUGUUCGUCCAAUUUUUCGUUCAUAUUUUUGUCAGUUUCUCCAAAUUUUAGUUAUAGGACGAAAACAAUUUGUCGGACUGGAUUCUAUAAUUUGCCGACUACCUGUCGAUUGGAGGUGUUCCACCCCCCUCCUAGCCUGCGAACAGGCCCUGGGUUGCGGGCGGCGCGAAGAAUAGAGGGCCUGCACGGAACUAUAGGUUUUCUUGGUAGUGGCGUUCGUAUAGAAACGCAGGCUUCUGAUUGGCUUACACUCGUUGACAAAAUUACUAAAAAUAGCAAAUGUCAACAACAGCAUUUUGAAGAAUUUGAACUUUAUUCAUUUUAAUAUUAUAUAUUAAUUAUAAGACUAUCGAACAAAUAACACUAGAAAUGGAAACCAAAAGCAAUAGCAAAGCAUCACAGCAAAAAAGUAUAUCAUAAAUGACUUGAAUCUAUCGCUUAAAUUCAAUACUAUAACAGUAUUCUGAACUUCGUCUUCGGAUUGACAUAAAUCUAGUACUACAUUUUGAGGUCGUCGUGGCUUCACGGAUUAUUCUCAUUAGUGAGCAAGUCAGCAAGCGAAGGCAUACAAAAGAUACCCAAAUAUGUACGAAUAAUUAUGAUAAAUAUAUAUCGUACAUUAAACGUUGUACUAUUAACUGUAUAAACUGCUGACAAUUUCGUCGUCGAUACGGCUUCCACUAUUGGCACACUCGUGAUUUCGAAGAAAUUAAUAAAUACAUGCUCAUUUAUCAUUUAUUUAGACCACAGUUAGUAAAAUUUUAGACGUAUUUGAUAUUCCAAACCCCAAUCUAUCUGACUGUAUUUUAGUAAUAGCUUCAAAUAUUCAGAACAUUGUUCUUUCAGUCGCACAUAGUACAAGUAUUACUGUACAUUCAAUGCCAAUGGUAGUAUUUUAUUCGGCUUUAUAUUUGUAUGUGUAUUGUACGGUGGCCCAGACGCGACAGCACAAAAACAGUUUUUGUAUUUUUUGAUUUUUUGAUUUUUUGAUUUUUAGAUUUUUAGAUUUUUUGAUUUUUUGAUUUUUUGAUUUUUUGAUUUUUGGAUUUUUGUAUUUUUGUAUUUUUUGAUUUUUUGAUUUUUUGAUUUUUUGAUUUUUUGAUUUUUUGAUUUUUUGAUUUUUUGAUUUUUGUAUUUUUUGAUUUUUUGAUUUUUUGAUUUUUUGAUUUUUUGAUUUUUUGAUUUUUGUAUUUUUGUAUUUUUUGAUUUUUGUAUUUUUGUAUUUUUUGAUUUUUUGAUUUUUUGAUUUUUUUAUUUUUUUAUUUUUUGAUUUUUUGAUUUUUGUAUUUUUUGAUUUUUUGAUUUUUUGAUUUUUUGAUUUUUUGAUUUUGAUAUAUAUUUGGAUUUUUUUUAAUGUUUAAAGACCUUGUCAAGUUCGUUCUGCACAUUAGUGAUGGGCGAUACCAGGAUUUUUAAUUCGAUACCGAUACCGAUACUUUUAAGAUCGGUAUCGGUCGAUACCGAUACCUAUUUCGAUACCAAAAUAAACACAAAAUUCCAAUUUUCGAUACCGGAAGUGAGUACUUAAAUUGCUAGUAUCGGCUACUUUCGAUACCUGCCGGUCAGCGGAAAAACAUUUUGCAUUACUGCCAUGUAACCUAAAUAAAGCCAUAAGUAAAACAAAAGCCCUAAACGUAAUAAAUAUUCUCUAUACCUGACUUGGCGCACCGAAUUUGGAAUAUUAAGAGUUACUUUAGUGGUUCAUUAAGUCGGCUAUUCAACCAAGAAGUUAAAUUAAAUAAGUAGUUUAAAAAAGGGUGCAAGUAUCGAACGAUACCACGUCAGUAAUCGAUACCGAUACCGCUGUUUGUGGUAUCGCUGGUAUCGAAUACUGAGUACUCGGUAUCGCCCAUCACUACUGCACAUCAGUUCUGUUCAUAACAAAGGGCGACCUACACUAAUAAAUAUUGCCCAAAUUUUGCAUUUUCGAACUGUUUUGAAUUGAAACGUACUCUAGUUUAUAUUCAUUUACAAUAGCGAACCAGAAAACUGUUAGAUAUUUAGUUAAUAGUAUGUCUUAUUUUACAAAUAUAUAGCAGUCCAAAAUAUAAACAAAGCAUCGAAGGAUUUAUUUACAUUACGUGGACUUGACAUGCAUGGUCUUCAAAAGUUUGAAGUACUAUAGGCGAAGCCGAGUAUCUUUUAUAAGUCUGAUAAAACACGCACUGCGGAUGUAAAUUUUAUG